rnacentral:rRNA from 1 species
UACAGAGGUCCCAAGCGUUGUUCGGAUUCACUGGGCGUAAAGGGUGCGUAGGCGGUCGGGUAAGUCUGAUGUGAAAUCUCACAGCUUAACUGUGAAACUGCAUUGGAUACUAUUCGGCUAGAGAGUUGGAGGGGGGACUGGAAUUCUUGGUGUAGCAGUGAAAUGCGUAGAUAUCAAGAGGAACACCAGUGGCGAAGGCGAGUCCCUGGAAAACUCCUGACACUGAGGCACGAAAGCUAGGGGAGCAAACAGG